rnacentral:rRNA from 1 species
GAUGAACGCUGGCGGCGUGCCUAAUACAUGCAAGUCGAGCGAACAGACGAGGAGCUUGCUCCUCUGACGUUAGCGGCGGACGGGUGAGUAACACGUGGAUAACCUACCUAUAAGACUGGGAUAACUUCGGGAAACCGGAGCUAAUACCGGAUAAUAUAUUGAACCGCAUGGUUCAAUAGUGAAAGACGGUUUUGCUGUCACUUAUAGCUGGAUCCGCGCCGCAUUAGCUAGUUGGUAAGGUAACGGCUUACCAAGGCAACGAUGCGUAGCCGACCUGAGAGGGGGUUCGGCCACACUGGAACUGAGACACGGUCCAGACUCCUACGGGAGGCAGCAGUAGGGAAUCUUCCGCAAUGGGCGAAAGCUUGACGGAGCAACGCCGCGUGAGUGAUGAAGGUCUUCGGAUCGUAAAACUCUGUUAUUAGGGAAGAACAAAUGUGUAAGUAACUAUGCACGUCUUGACGGUACCUAAUCAGAAAGCCACGGCUAACUACGUG